rnacentral:misc_RNA from 1 species
AUUGGAGGCAUCCUCACGCUUAUAAUUUGGAGCAAAAUCACGAAGCUUCUUAAAACUCCCGUCCUUCAAGUUAUACCUUAUGAUUUGUGCAGGUAUAUGCAGCACCAAAUAGUCGCCAUCGUCAGUUGCUUCCCUUUCAAUGCCCAUUAUUUGAAAAACAUAAUAGUUCAACACUGAAGGAUUAUGAUAGGACCUUAUCAUCCCAGGAAAUGCAUUUACAACUCCA